UACGUAGGGUGCAAGCGUUAAUCGGAAUUACUGGGCGUAAAGCGUGCGCAGGCGGUUGUGCAAGACAGAUGUGAAAUCCCCGGGCUCAACCUGGGAAUUGCAUUUGUGACUGCACGGCUAGAGUGUGUCAGAGGGGGGUAGAAUUCCACGUGUGAGCAGUGAAAAUGCGUAGAGAUGUGGAGGAAUACCGAUGGCGAAGGCAGCCCCCUGGGAUAACACUGACGCUCAUGCACGAAAGCGUGGGGAGCAAACAGG
rnacentral:rRNA from 1 species